GAUUACUAUGAUGGAGCAUAAAAGAUCAAUGACGAACACAAUUUAACCCAGAUUCCUCUCUUCAGCAUGUUUAGUAAUGAGUAUAACGGCCCUAUUGUUCCGAUGGAGAUAAGAACCUAUGAUUAGCUUUUCGGGCAAUUUCCAAACGAACAAUUUCAACUAAAUCAUUGCUUAAGUCCGUAUAGUUCAAUUUUGUUUUACAUCAAUUGCUCAAGACAAAAUCUCUUGAAUCGUCAUCAAGCCAUCAAGCUAAGGUAUGUGACUUCAACCCACUUCCCACGAUCUAUUUUUUUUAUCUUCAUAUUUUAAUAAUAUUGAUCUCCAUGUCCCUUUUUCUUGAUGUUGUGUGUUUUAACAAAUAUGACACUUUCGUUAUUAGUGAAAUUUCAAUUUAUAGAGGUAAUUUGUUUUAAAUUAUUUACCGUGAAACCAAUAGAGUUUGAUUGUCCCAAUUUUUUCUAUUGAUGUUUAUUUGAUAAAGCAUUGGGUUACAAAUUAUUCAAAAUAUGGCAAAGUUAUGUGGCUUCAACCUACUUCUAAAGUUUAUUUUCUAUUUUAAUAUUUUAAUUUUUCUAGAAUGAGUUGUAUUUGUCCAGCUUCAUUAUUGUAGAUUCUUUUUCAUACUAAUAGGUGAGACGAAAUUGUUAAGUUUCAGUUAUUCAAAGAGAUCGAUUAUGAUCAUUAUUUUAUAAUUAGUUGUGACAAGUUCGGUGUUUUUUUACAUCAAUUGCUCAAGACAAAUUCUCUUGAAUCGUCAUCAAGCUAUUAAGCUAAGGUAUGCGACUUCCACCCACUUCCACGAUCUAUUUUUUUAUCUCCAUACUUUAAUCUUUCUAGAGUAAUACUAUUCUUCAAUAAGCUUUUUUUAUUGGUCCACUUUAUGUAGAGAUAUGUAUUUUCGGUAAAUUGCAUAUUGUGCAAUGCAGCGAAAAGCGAAUCUUAGAUAUUAAUUUUUCCUAUAUUUUUUAGUGUAACAUAAUUUCCAUCCAAUGUGUUAAAUGAAAUUUCGGAUAACUCAUAGGCCACAAGUAUGGUAAUAUUAUAAAAAAUCUAGAUUGUUGCACGAAUUUAUUGUAAUUUAAUAAAAAUAAUAAUUGGUGCUUUGGGUUUGUUAUUAUCGUUUACAUUUUGGUCCUUAAUGUUUAUGGACCAUUGAACCGCUUUAAAAUUAACUUAUCUCAUAAAUACUAAUGUAAGAAAAUAGUAUUGAAAUUUUACAGCUUACUUGAAAAUUCUUAAGAGACUAAUUAUGAUGCAUUUUAUGGUUAAUUUCUCCAAAAAUCUCUUGCAUGUAGCACGUUUUCUAUUAAUGACUUUUUACCGCAUAAUUCUUCCAGGUAAUUAAUUUUAUAUGUCAAAUAGUAAUUAUAACAAAAAUUAUCUCAAACUUGAUCAACUAUACAUGCAUGUACUUACUGUAAACUCAAACUUUAAAGUAUAUUUUAAAUAAGAAAAAAGUGAAUACAUGUAAAUAUAUUGACGCGAUACACACGUGCAACGCACGUAUGCUAAAACUAGUGUUUAUGAAAAGUUUAUACUAGCUUCAUUAGGUAGAUCUGAAGCUCACUUGUGAAUAAGUCGACUGUUUAAGUCAACAAAUACUUGUUGUUGUAGCUUGAUUACUUAAAUAUCACCAAAAUUUGUAGUUUAGUUGAAAGUUUAAAAAACAUUUUUGCGAUGCAAUUUGCUCUAUUAUUCCUGUUACUUAAAACUUCAGCUGCUUUUAGGAUUUAAGGGAGAAAUUACACGUAAAUUUGAUUUUUCUUCUUUAUUUAUUUCUUACAAAAAGAAUUUGAGUAAUGUAUAGUUGGCCUCUUAAAAAUACGGAAUUCUGUUAGAUAUAAAAGAAUCCAGUUAUAGUUGUUGAAAUGUAAAGCUUUAUUCCACCCCCAAAUGGUUAAUUAUUUGUCUACGUGUAAUAACUGUAAAAAGUAACAAAUUUCAAUGUUAAUAAGUCUUUGUAUGCUUCAAAUGAAGAUUCUUCUUUAUUACAUGUCCUAAUUGUUUCUUUGCUUCACUACUCUAUCGAUGACUUCCGAGCUUUAGGGGGGCGACAUUUGGCUUCCACUUCACUUCUUCACUUUCCUCUGUGCUACUUUGAUUUUAUGGUUCUUUCUAAUCCUCUAUCUCUUACUACAAAAAGUAGCUACAUGUGGUUUUCUCCAAAUUUAUUUGGGCUUGUGAAUCGAACUUCAGGUAUGUCUUCGAUGUCUGCAAAAUAUUUGUUCAUCUCUCUUUUAUUUUGUUUAUUGCUCUUCUCUGUGCCUUUGAUUUUCUCCAACAGCUAACAGUGUGAUUAAUGGAAGCUAGAUGAGGGAUUGUUUAUGUAAUACAUCUUUCCUUUCUUGUGUCUGUUUGGGAAUUACAAUUGGUUUCCAUCAUGGAGACAGAUUGAAAAGUAUUCUAGCAAAAAAAUUUGGCAGAGAUUUCCCACUGAUAUAGAAAAUUAGACCCUAUUCUUUUGGGUUGUAGGGCAGUAGGAAGGUGCUUAACUUGAAGGAAGUGAAUGUGAUGAGAGCCUAUGGAACUGCUAAAGGCAAGUUUCAGCACCUUUAAGAUCGUCAUCAAAUGAGGGUGAAGAAAUUUGUAAAGAGGUAAACUGAUACCUCCUAAUUGGCUAUCUUGCGUGAGAUCUAUAUAUACCAAAAAUAAUAACAAAUACCAAGUUAUGUACUGACCAACUUUGAUCUAUAAAUUGGGCAGCCUAUCUUUCUCUUCCUUUUAAAAAAAAAUACAGUUUCUAGCAUUUGAACAUGGCAUCAAGUGACAUCACUGCAUAGAGGUCGAUUCUUUGGAAGUUAGUAAUUCUUUAGUAAUGUUGGUUAAACACACAGAACAGUUUGAUCCAAAUUUAGACAAACUUUCGUUGCUUCACUCAACUUUUUAGAAAAUGAGCAGCUUAAUUAUUAUGUUUAUAAGAGCCCUUCCACUGUGCAUUUCGAAAGAUUUAAAACCAACAACUACCUUUAAUAUCAUUCGGAAUGGUGAAGGGGUGUAUAGUUUAAUACCAUCCUCUUAUCUGAUGAGGUUAUUGAAAUUUGACUUGAGCUAGGUUGAUUGCAAUGUAAGUUGAGUUGCUUUCUCUGCUCUUUUUGUUAGUAACAUUUUGCUUGCCAUGUAAGAAGAAACUAUCCUUUGUUGCAAUAUUAAAUAUCUAAUGUUUAUGUUGGAUGUUUCUCCUUCCAAUGUUAUGAAAAACCACACUUUCGAGAUACCACAUCUGUGGUGUAAUGAAAUACCACUCUUGCAUGGAACUAAAGAAACACAAUUGAUCAAGGUCUUUGGUGAAUUAGCAUAAAAAUAACUACUUUUUUUUUUUUUUGCGUAAAAAUACACGUAUUUGGUUUUUGUAUGAUUACAGUUUGAAACUCCUACAUUCUUAAAGUAUUUUUAAUUUUUUCCAUUGUUUUCACAAUGACUACUUUAUUUAAAUUGUCUCAUCUCUUUCCGUGUUCCAUUAUGAUAGGCAAGAUCUCUAAUUCUUGAAUCUUGCUGUAAAGUAAGAUGAACAUUUGGAUUGGGAGAUACAAAUAAGGGUAGCACUGGGCAUGUCGUACUGCCUUGAGAACAAUGAUAGUUUGUCGUCAUGGGUACCCCAUAGAAACUUGACUUACUGCUGUGUACAUCAAAGAAGACUACAACCAUGAAGUAGUGCUCAGCUAUCCUAUUGAGGCCUCAAGUGAACAUCUAUCCAAUUAUCUUUAUGUUAUUUGUUAGAGAAGAGGCAAAUAUCAUUCAAGGUUAAACUUCUACAGCAAACGGGGAAAGUUACUCGGACUCUUCGAAAAUGUCGUCGGGUGCGUGUCGGAUCCUUCAAAAGUAGUGUAUUUUUGAAGGAUCCGAUACGGGUAUGGCAACACUUUCGAAGAUUCCGAGUAACUUAGAUGACAAGUAGGUGCUAAUGUUACUAUCGAUGUUCUUGCUGCUCUUUUAAGUUAAUAGUGUACCUCUGUUGGAUUGAUGAAAAAACAACAUUCUGUAGUAUUUUAGCUUCACACUUCCUGCACAACAUCUCAUGGCAUGUAACUCUAUCUUCUUUUCUUGGGUUGAAUGUAGCUUAUUUUAAUUGCAGCUCUAUGAGUGUUUUGGUCAAA